CUUGAAACACGGACCAAGAAGUUUAGCGUGUACGCGAGUCAUUGGGUUCAUAUUAAACCUAAAGGCGAAAUGAAAGUAAAGGAGAGAUAUUUUCUUUAUCAUUCUAAGGGAAGAUGAGCCAUUCAUGUGUAUUGUAUAACUAUAGUACUUCUAUAGCUUAUACAUUCACUGUGGUUUCGCAUUCCCGGGGCGUUUCAUUACUCAUUGCGAGUUGAAACGCACCUAGAGCGUACACGCUGAAACCCGAAAGAUGGUGAACUAUGCCUGGCCAGGACGAAGCCAGGGGAAACCCUGGUGGAGGUCCGUAGCGAUUCUGACGUGCAAAUCGAUCGUCGGAGCUGGGUAUAGGGGCGAUAGACCAAUCGAAUCAUCUAGUAGCUGGUUCCCUCUGAAGUUUCCCUCAGGAUAGCUUGCAUUCGGUAGAGAUGAGUCUCAUCCGGUAGAGCGAAUGAUUAGAGGCAUUGGGGUCGAAACGACCUCAACCUAUUCUCAAACUCCAAAUGGAUGAGAACCACGGCUUGCUUGAAAGUGAAGCCGUGGAUUUUUAUUUGUUUCGGAUCAGAAUUGCCAAGUGGGCCAAUUUUGGUAAGCAGAACUGGCGCU
rnacentral:rRNA from 1 species